rnacentral:rRNA from 1 species
CGUGCUACAAUGGCGCAUACAAAGAGAAGCGACCUCGCGAGAGCAAGCGGACCUCAUAAAGUGCGUCGUAGUCCGGAUUGGAGUCUGCAACUCGACUCCAUGAAGUCGGAAUCGCUAGUAAUCGUGGAUCAGAAUGCCACGGUGAAUACGUUCCCGGGCCUUGUACACACCGCCCGUCACACCAUGGGAGUGGGUUGCAAAAGAAGUAGGUAGCUUAACCUUCGGGAGGGCGCUUACCACUUUGUGAUUCAUGACUGGGGUGAAGUCGUAACAAGGUAACCGUAGGGGAACCUGCGGUUGGAUCACCUCCUUACCUUAAAGAAGCGUUCUUUGCAGUGCUCACACAGAUUGUCUGAUGAAAA